rnacentral:rRNA from 1 species
CCCUUAGAGUUUGAUCCUGGCUCAGGACGAACGCUGGCGGCGCGCCUAACACAUGCAAGUCGAACGAGAGAUGAGGAGCUUGCUCUUCAAAUCGAGUGGCGAACGGGUGAGUAACGCGUGAGGAACCUGCCUCAAAGAGGGGGACAACAGUUGGAAACGACUGCUAAUACCGCAUAAGCCCACGGCUCGGCAUCGAGCAGAGGGAAAAGGAGUGAUCCGCUUUGAGAUGGCCUCGCGUCCGAUUAGCUAGUUGGUGAGGUAACGGCCCACCAAGGCGACGAUCGGUAGCCGGACUGAGAGGUUGAACGGCCACAUUGGGACUGAGACACGGCCCAGACUCCUACGGGAGGCAGCAGUGGGGAAUAUUGCACAAUGGGGGAAACCCUGAUGCAGCGACGCCGCGUGGAGGAAGAAGGUCUUCGGAUUGUAAACUCCUGUUGUUGAGGAAGAUA